GACAGAGGGGGCAAGCGUUGCUCGGAAUUACUGGGCGUAAAGGGCGCGUAGGCGGGAUGGCAAGUCGGUCGUGAAAUCCCUCGGCUCAACUGAGGAUCGUCGAUCGAUACUGCCGUUCUUGAGGAUUGCAGAGGAGACUGGAAUUCCCGGUGUAGCGGUGAAAUGUGUAGAUAUCGGGAGGAACAUCAGUGGCGAAGGCGGCUGCCUGGCCCAAUACUGACACUCAGGUGCGACAGCGUGGGGAGCAAACAGG
rnacentral:rRNA from 1 species